GAAUGCUUUAAAUGCUUCGUCCCGCCGAGCUCUGGUUCUGACGCAUCUUGAAAAGCCAUUUAGUAGAUGCGAGUUGACAACAGAAAGAUUAAAUUUACCUUCCUCUGCAGCUGAAGCGAAGGUCUGAGUUCAGUUUGAGUGGUUGCCACAGAAGCAAAUCGUAAGGCUUGAGAAAGUGACUGCAGCAAAUGAAAGGGUGCUCAAAGAGAAAAUAUAAGAAGGUUGAAUAAGGAAACCAUUCUUUUAAAAGAAUUCGAAGCAAGAAAAGGAGUGGUGUAUGAUUACAAUGUUUUCAGACGAGUUCCUGUUAGUUUAGCUAUACAUCACCAUGCAAGACCUUUA